UACGUAGGUGGCAAGCGUUGUCCGGAUUUAUUGGGUUUAAAGGGUGCGUAGGCGGCCUGGUAAGUCAGUGGUGAAAGACUUCAGCUCAACUGGAGAGGUGCCAUUGAUACUGUCAGGCUUGAGUACAGACGAGGUAGGCGGAAUUGACGGUGUAGCGGUGAAAUGCAUAGAUAUCGUCAAGAACACCGAUAGCGAAGGCAGCUUACUAGACUGAGACUGACGCUGAGGCACGAAAGUGUGGGGAUCAAACAGG
rnacentral:misc_RNA from 1 species